rnacentral:rRNA from 1 species
UACGAAGGGGGCUAGCGUUGCUCGGAAUGACUGGGCGUAAAGGGCGCGUAGGCGGCUUGCACCGUCAGAUGUGAAAUUCCUGGGCUUAACCUGGGGGCUGCAUUUGAUACGUGUGGGCUUGAGUGCGGAAGAGGGUCGUGGAAUUCCCAGUGUAGUGGUGGAAUGCGUAGAUAUCGGGAGGAACACCAGUGGCGAAGGCGGUUACCUGGAGCUUUGCUGACGCUGAUGCGCGAAAGCGUGGGGAGCGAUCAGG